UACGGAGGAUCCGAGCGUUAUCCGGAUUUAUUGGGUUUAAAGGGAGCGUAGGUGGAUUGUUAAGUCAGUUGUGAAAGUUUGCGGCUCAACCGUAAAAUUGCAGUUGAAACUGGCAGUCUUGAGUACAGUAGAGGUGGGCGGAAUUCGUGGUGUAGCGGUGAAAUGCAUAGAUAUCACGCAGAACUCCGAUUGCGAAGGCAGCUUACUAAGCCAUAACUGACACUGAAGCACGAAAGCGUGGGGAUCAAACAGG
rnacentral:rRNA from 1 species